UACGAAGGGGGCUAGCGUUGCUCGGAAUUACUGGGCGUAAAGCGCACGUAGGCGGAUCUUUAAGUCAGGGGUGAAAUCCUGGAGCUCAACUCCAGAACUGCCUUUGAUACUGAGGGUCUUGAGUUCGGGAGAGGUGAGUGGAACUGCGAGUGUAGAGGUGAAGUUCGUAGAUAUUCGCAAGAACACCAGUGGCGAAGGCGGCUCACUGGCCCGAUACUGACGCUGAGGUGCGAAAGCGUGGGGAGCAAACAGG
rnacentral:rRNA from 1 species